GAAAAGGCCAGCGGGGUGAUCGCCGUCAUCCGCACCUAAGCAGACGCCAAGGCCGACAAGGUGCAGAGACGUCGAGAUGGACUCGGAGCUGGUGCCCACACGCCAAACGUCGCUCCGAGUUGAGCUUUGGAUUCUCUUCCUCCAUGUCUGAUGCAGCUCCGCCAAAAUUCCUCAUUUUUUAUGGCAAGUUUGAAUGAAUCAAAAUUGGAAUAAAAAACAAAAACACUUCAAA